rnacentral:rRNA from 1 species
UACAGAGGGUGCAAGCGUUGUUCGGAAUCAUUGGGCGUAAAGGGCGUGUAGGCGGCUUAGUAAGUCAGAUGUGAAAUCCCAGGGCUCAACCUUGGACGUGCAUCUGAAACUGCUAAGCUAGAGUUUCGGAGAGGGUGGUGGAAUUCCCAGUGUAGAGGUGAAAUUCGUAGAUAUUGGGAGGAACACCGGUGGCGAAAGCGACCACCUGGACGAUAACUGACGCUGAGGCGCGAGAGCGUGGGGAGCAAACAGG